rnacentral:rRNA from 1 species
UACGUAGGGGGCAAGCGUUAUCCAGAUUUACUGGGUGUAAAGGGAGCGUAGACGGCGAUGCAAGUCUGAAGUGAAAGGCGGGGGCCCAACCCCCGGACUGCUUUGGAAACUGUAUGGCUGGAGUGCAGGAGAGGUAAGUGGAAUUCCUAGUGUAGCGGUGAAAUGCGUAGAUAUUAGGAGGAACACCAGUGGCGAAGGCGGCUUACUGGACUGUAACUGACGUUGAGGCUCGGAAAGCGUGGGAG